AAUGAAAAUGAAAAACUGCAUUGUAGUGAUGAUGGUGUUGGCCGUAGCUAUGGUGACUAUGGUAGAAGAAGUAGAAGGGACUGCAUGCAUGAGCAGGUGCUUGUUCUUAUGUGGUUUCUUUUUUCAACAUCCAGUUUCUUGCGAAGACAAAUGUAAUCGCAAAUGUCAUCCUUAUGAUCAAUCUCAAUCACCAUCGCAGAUGGAGACUAUAGGAAUGAGAAACAUAAAAUCGUAGUUACGUCGACAAAGGAGUUGUUGAUCUAUUUGUAAGCAUGUUGAAGCUACCAGAUCAAUAAAAAUCAUGUUUAAACUUUUAUGUAUAAUUAAUUAUAUCAAUAUCAAUUCAGAUUAUUUUUCUAAAAUGGGGAUGACAGAGAUUUGGAUAGUCUCAAAGAAAAUAUAUUGUUUGAUUGAACAUGUGUGACACUGAGAGACAUACUUCCAAAUUA